rnacentral:rRNA from 1 species
UGCCAGCAGCCGCGGUAAUACGGAGGAUGCAAGCGUUAUCCGGAUUUAUUGGGUUUAAAGGGUGCGUAGGCGGAUGAAUAAGUCAGUGGUGAAAGCCUGCAGCUUAACUGUAGAAUUGCCAUUGAUACUGUUCGUCUUGAGUACAGCUGAGGUGGGCGGAAUAUGACAUGUAGCGGUGAAAUGCUUAGAUAUGUCAUAGAACACCGAUUGCGAAGGCAGCUCACUAAACUGUCACUGACGCUGAGGCACGAAAGCGUGGGGAGCAAACAGGAUUAGAUACCCUGGUAGUCCACGCCCUAAACUAUGAUCACUCGAUGUUGGCGAUACACUGUCAGCGUCUAAGCGAAAGCAUUAAGUGAUCCACCUGGGGAGUACGGUCGCAAGACUGAAACUCAAAGAAUGACGG